CAAGUCCAUAUCUCAGAUACUAUAAGCAAUAGGGCUAGUAUAUUCGGUGUAUGGAAGGACUGUAAGGUGUACAUGUCCAACUGGCAGGUGUCAUCUGACCUUGACCUCAUUUUGAUAGUUCAGUGGUUAUAGUAAUAUUUUUGUGUUUUGGUCUGUUUUUCUCAUACUAUAUGCAAUAGGUCUACUAUAUUUGUUGUAUAGAAUGAUUGUAAGGUGUACAUGUCUAGCGGGC
rnacentral:lncRNA from 1 species